rnacentral:rRNA from 1 species
UAACUUUUUUAGGUUAAGUUAUUAAGGGCGCACGGUGGAUGCCUUGGCACUAGGAGCCGAAGAAGGACGGCACUAACACCGAUAUGCUUCGGGGAGCUGUAAGUAAGCUUUGAUCCGGAGAUUUCCGAAUGGGGGAACCCACUGUUCGUAAUGGAACAGUAUCUUGACGUGAAUUCAUAGCGUCUUGAAGGCAGACCCAGGGAACUGAAACAUCUAAGUACCUGGAGGAAGAGAAAGAAAAUAUUCGAUUCCCUGAGUAGCGGCGAGCGAAACGGGAAAAGCCCAAACCAAGAGGCUUGCCUCUUGGGGUUGUAGGACACUCUAUAUGGAGUUACAAAGGAAUGAAUUAGGCGAAGCGAUCUGGAAAGGUCCGCCAUAGCGGGUAAAAGCCCUGUAGUCGAAAGUUCAUUCUCUCUUGAGUGUAUCCUGAGUACGGCGGAACACGUGAAAUUCCGUCGGAAUCCGGGAGGACCAUCUCCCAAGGCUAAAUACUACCUAGUGACCGAUAGUGAACCAGUACCGUGAGGGAAAGGUGAAAAGCACCCCGGGAGGGGAGUGAAAUAGAACCUGAAACCGUGUGCCUACAAGUAGUUAGAGCCCGUUAAUGGGUGAUAGCGUGCCUUUUGUAGAAUGAACCGGCGAGUUACGAUUACGUGCAAGGUUAAGAUGAGAAGUCGGAGCCGUAGCGAAAGCGAGUCUGAAUAGGGCGAAUGAGUACGUGGUCGUAGACCCGAAACCAGGUGAUCUACCCAUGUCCAGGGUGAAGGUGAGGUAACACUCACUGGAGGCCCGAACCCACGCACGUUGAAAAGUGCGGGGAUGAGGUGUGGGUAGCGGAGAAAUUCCAAUCGAACUUGGAGAUAGCUGGUUCUCUCCGAAAUAGCUUUAGGGCUAGCCUCGUGAUGAGAAUACUGGAGGUAGAGCACUGUUUGGACUAGGGGGGCAUCUCGCUUUACCGAAUUCAGACAAACUCCGAAUGCCAGAUAUUUAUACACGGGAGUCAGACUGCGAGUGAUAAGAUCCGUAGUCAAGAGGGAAACAGCCCAGACCACCAGCUAAGGUCCCAAAGUAAUCGUUAAGUGGAAAAGGAUGUGGCGUUGCUUAGACAACCAGGAUGUUGGCUUAGAAGCAGCCAUCAUUUAAAGAGUGCGUAAUAGCUCACUGGUCGAGUGACACUGCGCCGAAAAUGUAUCGGGGCUAAACGAUUCACCGAAGCUGUGGAUUCGCAUCGAAUGAUGCGAGUGGUAGGAGAGCGUUCUAAGUGCGUUGAAGUCAGACCGGAAGGACUGGUGGAGCGCUUAGAAGUGAGAAUGCCGGUAUGAGUAGCGAAAGAUGGGUGAGAAUCCCAUCCACCGUAUGACUAAGGUUUCCUGAGGAAGGCUCGUCCGCUCAGGGUUAGUCGGGACCUAAGUCGAGGCCGACAGGCGUAGACGAUGGACAACAGGUUGAUAUUCCUGUACCACCUCCCCGCCGUUUGAGUAAUGGGGGGACGCAGUAGGAUAAGAUAAGCGUACCGUUGGUUGAGUACGCCCAAGCAGUAAGGCGUGGAAGUAGGCAAAUCCGCUUCCUGUAACGUUGAGCUGUGAUGGGGAGCUAAUUUNNNNNNNNNNNNNNNNNNNNNNNNNNNNNNNNNNNNNNNNNNNNNNNNNNNNNNNNNNNNNNNNNNNNNNNNNNNNNNNNNNNNNNNNNAGCGAAGUAUCUGAUUUCACGCUGCCAAGAAAAGCCUCUAGCGAGGCGGGAGGUGCCCGUACCGCAAACCGACACAGGUAGUCGAGGAGAGAAUCCUAAGGUGUGCGAGAGAACUCUCGUUAAGGAACUCGGCAAAAUGACCCCGUAACUUCGGGAGAAGGGGUGCUCUCGCAAGAGAGCCGCAGUGAAUAGGCCCAGGCGACUGUUUAGCAAAAACACAGGUCUCUGCAAAACCGUAAGGUGACGUAUAGGGGCUGACGCCUGCCCGGUGCUGGAAGGUUAAGAGGAGGGGUUAGCGCAAGCGAAGCUCUGAAUUGAAGCCCCAGUAAACGGCGGCCGUAACUAUAACGGUCCUAAGGUAGCGAAAUUCCUUGUCGGGUAAGUUCCGACCCGCACGAAAGGCGUAACGAUCUGGGCACUGUCUCAACGAGAGACUCGGUGAAAUUAUAGUACCUGUGAAGAUGCAGGUUACCCGCGACAGGACGGAAAGACCCCGUGGAGCUUUACUGUAGCCUGAUAUUGAAUUUUGGUACAACUUGUACAGGAUAGGUAGGAGCCAGAGAACUCGGAGCGCCAGCUUCGAGGGAGGCGUCGGUGGGAUACUACCCUGGUUGUAUUGAAAUUCUAACCCAUGCCCGUAAGCCGGGCAGGAGACAGUGUCAGGUGGACAGUUUGACUGGGGCGGUCGCCUCCUAAAAGGUAACGGAGGCGCCCAAAGGUUCCCUCAGAAUGGUUGGAAAUCAUUCGUAGAGUGUAAAGGCACAAGGGAGCUUGACUGCGAGACCUACAAGUCGAGCAGGGUCGAAAGACGGGCUUAGUGAUCCGGUGGUUCCGCAUGGAAGGGCCAUCGCUCAACGGAUAAAAGCUACCCCGGGGAUAACAGGCUUAUCUCCCCCAAGAGUCCACAUCGACGGGGAGGUUUGGCACCUCGAUGUCGGCUCAUCGCAUCCUGGGGCUGUAGUCGGUCCCAAGGGUUGGGCUGUUCGCCCAUUAAAGCGGUACGCGAGCUGGGUUCAGAACGUCGUGAGACAGUUCGGUCCCUAUCCGUCGUGGGCGUAGGAAAUUUGAGAGGAGCUGUCCUUAGUACGAGAGGACCGGGAUGGACACACCGCUGGUGUACCAGUUGUCAAGCCAUUGGCAUCGCUGGGUAGCUAUGUGUGGACGGGAUAAGUGCUGAAAGCAUCUAAGCAUGAAGCCCCCCUCAAGAUGAGAUUUCCCAUUACGCAAGUAAGUAAGAUCCCUCAAAGACGAUGAGGUAGAUAGGUUCGAGGUGGAAGUGUGGCGACACAUGGAGCUGACGAAUACUAAUCGAUCGAGGACUUAACCAA